rnacentral:rRNA from 1 species
AGCGAACGCUGGCGGCAGGCUUAACACAUGCAAGUCGAGCGGGCACUUUCGGGUGUCAGCGGCGGACGGGUGCGUAACGCGUGGGAACGUGCCCUCUGGCUCGGAAUAACUCGGGGAAACUUGAGCUAAUACCGGAUACGCCCUUUUGGGGAAAGGCUUGCUGCCGGAGGAUCGGCCCGCGUCUGAUUGGCUAGUUGGUGAGGUACCGGCUCACCAAGGCGACGAUCAGUAGCUGGUCUGAGAGGGUGAUCAGCCACACUGGGACUGAGACACGGCCCAGACUGCUACGGGAGGCAGCAGUGGGGAAUAUUGGGGAAUGGGCGCAAGCCUGAUCCGGCCAUGCCGCGUGAGUGAUGAAGGCCUUAGGGUUGUAAAGCUCUUUUAUCCGGGACGAUAAUGACGGUACCGGAGGAAUAAGCCCCGGCUAACUUCGUG